GAGUUUGAUCGUGGCUCAGAACGAACGCUGGCGGCGUGGAUAAGACAUGCAAGUCGAACGGGAGAAUUGCUAGCUUGCUAAUAAUUCUCUAGCGGCGCACGGGUGAGUAACACGUGAGUAACCUGCCCCCGAGAGCGGGAUAGCCCUGGGAAACUGGGAUUAAUACCGCAUAGUAUCGAAAGAUUAAAGCAGCAAUGCGCUUGGGGAUGGGCUCGCGGCCUAUUAGUUAGUUGGUGAGGUAACGGCUCACCAAGGCGAUGACGGGUAGCCGGUCUGAGAGGAUGUCCGGCCACACUGGAACUGAGACACGGUCCAGACACCUACGGGUGGCAGCAGUCGAGAAUCAUUCACAAUGGGGGAAACCCUGAUGGUGCGACGCCGCGUGGGGGAAUGAAGGUCUUCGGAUUGUAAACCCCUGUCAUGUGGGAGCAAAUUAAAAAGAUAGUACCACAAGAGGAAGAGACGGCUAACUCUGUGCCAGCAGCAGGCC
rnacentral:rRNA from 1 species